rnacentral:rRNA from 1 species
UAUUGGUAAUGUGCGAAAGCGCGAACCAGCAACGCCGCGUGCACGAUGAAGGCCUUCGGGUUGUAAAGUGCUUUUAGAGAGGAUGAGGAAGGACAGUACUUUCUGAAUAAGCCUCGGCUAACUACGUGCCAGCAGCCGCGGUAAAACGUAGGAGGCUAGCGUUAUCCGGAUUUACUGGGCGUAAAGCGCGUGCAGGUGGUUUCGUAAGUUGGAUGUGAAAGCUCCUGGCUUAACUGGGAGAGGUCGUUCAAAACUGCGAGGCUUGAGAGUGGUAGAGGGAGGUGGAAUUCCGGGUGUAGUGGUGAAAUGCGUAGAUAUCCGGAGGAACACCAGUGGAGAAAGCGGCCUCCUGGACCAUUUCUGACACUCAGACGCGAAAGCUAAGGUAGCAAACG